UUGACUCAUUUUCUUCGUCACUCAGAGGGCAGACGCGGCGCAAGCGGGAGCCUUGGGGUCCUCCGGCGGGCGCGGGCGGCCCGCCGAGGCAACGUCGGUACGGUUCACAGGGGGUUUGGGAGCUCGUGACUCGGUAAUGAUCCCUCCGCUGGUUCACCAACGGAGA
rnacentral:misc_RNA from 1 species